CGCGCCGCCCGCCUGCGACCCACAGUUCUCGGCGCGAGCUUGCGCUGUGGCGAGCGCCGCGGCCAGGAUGGCAAGGACGACGGCCGUGGCCAGACUCGGAGCUCUCAUGGUUUUGAUCUUACAGACGACGGACGGGUUAUGGACUGCAGACUGGCUAGCUAAUAGGAAUUUGCAACAUGAUGGGACUUGCAAGCUGUGCAAUCAAGAGUUAGAAACGGCUGUUCAUCUUGGGCUGAGGAGAUUUGGCAUUGUUUCGCAUCUAAUCAUCCAUCAAUUAAAGGAUGGGGGAAGAAAAUUAAUGCUGGCCCCACAAAUGCAAUGAAAAGGUGAAGAUCAUCUCCCUGGCGUCUUACAUAUGGAAAGAAAUGAAUAGAAGAGUUUUUGAAAAACAAAGUCUGACUGUGCAAGGAGUCACCACGCUUAUGAGAGAAGAGGUUAGCCUCCUAAGGGAGGCGGUUGCAACUUAAAUUCUAGCUCUGUACAGCCGAACUGCCGGGCAGAUUCGGAAUUUCUCAUGUUUUGAGUUUGUUUUUUCCGAGUUUGUUUGUAUCCUUUCCAUUACCUGAGUUGUCAUGCUGUAACUACAAAUUCUCAUUCCUUAAUGCAAUAGCAGAGCACCUGCUCAUUUCCCCCAAAAAA